UACGAAGGGGGCUAGCGUUGCUCGGAAUCACUGGGCGUAAAGCGCACGUAGGCGGAUCUUUAAGUCAGAGGUGAAAUCCCAAGGCUCAACCUUGGAACUGCCUUUGAUACUGGGGAUCUCGAGUCCGGAAGAGGUGAGUGGAGCUGCGAGUGUAGAGGUGAAAUUCGUAGAUAUUCGCAAGAACACCAGUGGCGAAGGCGGCUCACUGGUCCGGUACUGACGCUGAGGUGCGAAAGUGUGGGGAGCGAACAGG
rnacentral:rRNA from 1 species